rnacentral:rRNA from 1 species
GACGAACGCUGGCGGCGUGCCUAACACAUGCAAGUCGAGCGAGUGAAUCUCCUUCGGGAGUGAAGCUAGCGGCGGACGGGUGAGUAACACGUGGGCAACCUGCCUCAUAGAGGGGAAUAGCCUUUCGAAAGGAAGAUUAAUACCGCAUAAGAUUGUAGCUUCGCAUGAAGUAGCAAUUAAAGGAGCAAUCCGCUAUGAGAUGGGCCCGCGGCGCAUUAGCUAGUUGGUGAGGUAACGGCUCACCAAGGCGACGAUGCGUAGCCGACCUGAGAGGGUGAGCGGCCACAUUGGGACUCGGACACGGCCCAGACACCUACGGGAGGCAGCAGUGGGGAAUAUUGCACAAUGGGGGAAACCCUGAUGCAGCAACGCCGCGUGAGUGAUGACGGACUUCGGGUUGUAAAGCUCUUUCACCGGAGAAGAUAAUGACGGUAUCCGGAGAAGAAGCCCCGGCUAACUUCGUGCCAGCCGCCGCAGUAACAC